rnacentral:rRNA from 1 species
UACGAGGGGGGCGAGCGUUGUCCGGAAUUAUUGGGCGUAAAGGGCUCGUAGGCGGUCUGUCACGUCGGGAGUGAAAACACGGGGCUUAACCCCGUGCCUGCUUCCGAUACGGGCAGACUAGAGGUAUGCAGGGGAGAACGGAAUUCCUGGUGUAGCGGUGAAAUGCGCAGAUAUCAGGAGGAACACCGGUGGCGAAGGCGGUUCUCUGGGCAUUACCUGACGCUGAGGAGCGAAAGUGUGGGGAGCGAACAGG